UGGUAGAUCAGCCAACAACUGCCCUCUGGAAUUACUGCACCUACCAAAAGCCUUUUCAAGCAUCAACAGAAUCCCGACUUUCCUCCCAACUUUCCUAGUUUGUCCAGGAGGUGCUGUGGAAAAGACAACAAUAUCUUGCUUUUCCUCUGGCAGCGUCAUAACCAAGAGAUGAAGAGCUUAUCUGAGUACUUCAGAAAAAGGUGAAAAAUAAUCAGAGAGGAAAGUGAGCUUGUCCUUUUACAUUCUUCCUUCACAAACAAAUACUACAGGUAAGUCCUGCUAAAAUAUAAUCUCCUUGGGUCAGGAACAACAUUUUCUUAAAUGCCUGUUGUAGUUCUAUACAUA